UAGGAUCGAACCAUAGCUUCCUUGCUUCACCCUCAUUUACUUCACAAGAUUAGCUCUCUAAAACUCUAAUAAAAUUCUAUGCCUUCAGCAUUAUUUCUUGCUAUGGCAAAUGCGAGAUGCAAUUGUUUGUUUUUUUUAACUAAUAAUACUUUUUUUUGUCCCAUGAAGUACUUUUUUUAGCCGAGGGACGGAGCUUGGAAUUGAAGAAUAAUUUAGAGGCUGUGAAUUUAAUGUUGAGUCUUGAUGGGAAGGUCAGCAUUAAUAUUGUAAAACCCGUAGUGGACAAUGUAGCUAUCCCGAGCCCCUUACAACACGUUUUCAGGUCCUUAAAAGAACGUGCAGACCCUCGACCCACAACCCUUAGACAUAGCCCUGGCGUCGGCUAUUAAUCCAUUAACCAGUAAGAUAUAUUGUAUUUGUGAUAGUUGACAAUUACAAAGGGUCGUCGGGUCGACUUGACCG